rnacentral:rRNA from 1 species
UUUAUGGAGAGUUUGAUCCUGGCUCAGGAUGAACGCUGGCGGCGUGCCUAAUACAUGCAAGUCGAGCGAACGGACGAGAAACUUGCUUCUCUGAUGUUAGCGGCGGACGGGUGAGUAACACGUGGAUAACCUACCUAUAAGACUGGGAUAACUU